GCAAGUCGAGCGAGAAAGCACUUCGGUGUGAGUAGAGCGGCGGACGGGUGAGUAACGCGUAGGAAUCUACCCAGUAGCGGGGGACAACAUGGUGAAAACCAUGCUAAUACCGCAUACGCCCUACGGGGGAAAGGGGGCAGCUUGCUGCUCUCACUAUUGGAUGAGCCUGCGUUGGAUUAGCUAGUUGGUGGGGUAAAGGCCCACCAAGGCGACGAUCCAUAGCUGGUCUGAGAGGAUGAUC
rnacentral:rRNA from 1 species